UCUCUUAUUACAGUUAUGAAAGUUUGAUAACAAGCAGGAAAUGUUCAUGGGCCAUUAUGACAACAUUGAAAUGGUUCGAGGACUGAAAAACAUCCACAAGAUUAAAUAUUUCUGAUAUUAGUCUGUAAGAUUUAUCCCUCGAGCAUACACUUUACAUAGCGUUACAUGUUCAAGUUUUGUUUUGUUUUCUGUUACAGUGUUUACGCAGAGCGUUCACACUGGAAAAUACCAAAAAGGAUAUGUGUAAUAUAUAUGUGUGGACACCUUGCACACUUAGUGGAGUGUACACUGUGCAGGGCUAAAUGAGCUACAAAAGAACCUUAAUAUAUAUAUAGUUCAUAAACUAGAGAGCAGUGCAUAGCGCAUUAUAACAUCGUCGUUUGGGAAACAACUUGAAUGUUUGAUUAGAGAAAACUAUUGCGUCGUCACAAUCUACUGAAGUUGUGGUUUAGGCAUUUUGCUGUUAUCAGUAUCUGUGGUCUGUGUUCUCUCUCUCUCUCUCUCUCUCUCUCUCUCUCUCUUUCUGCGUGUGUGGGACGGGCUGGUGCGGGAGCGCGCACUCUGCUCGAGCACGAGCGUCUUCAUCCGCACACCGGCCGUGUCAUGUCACGAGAGGAGAGAGAGAAUGCGCUGAUCCCCCAUCCACAAGCCGGACAGAGGACAUAUGUUCAUGAACCACAGCGAGAUGGAGAUGUCAGGGCCGAGUGUGAACCGCCGCAGUCGCACGGUGAAGAGGCGACGGUGGGGAGGACUGAGGCAGCAAUGGAAACUGCUGGGUCUGUUUGAGAUCGACCAAGAGCAUGAGUUUCACAGUCUCACCUGCAUGAUGAAGGAAGGGCUGCGUGCUGCUGUGCAGAACACCAUUGACAACCCUUUACCUGAUGAGCUGUGUGAGGAUGACUACAGUCUUGAGGUUACUCAAAUCCAUAAGGACUUCAGGAUGGAGACAUACGCGGGGCCGGUGUUUGCAAGUCUGCGUCGUUCUUUGGGAAUGACGGAGAAGGAGUAUCAGCAGUCGCUCUCCUCUGAAGGCUGUUACCUGCAAUUCAUCAGCAACUCUAAGAGCAAGGCAGAUUUCUUCCUAACCAAUGACAAGCGAUUCUUCUUAAAGACACAGAGCAAAAGAGAAGUGCGAUUUCUCUUGUCUAACCUGAGAAUCUACAUGGAGCAUCUGGAGAAAUACCCUCACUCUCUGCUCGUCAAGUUUUUAGGUGUUCACAGGAUCAAAAUAGCAAAUCAGAGGAAGAAGUACUUUAUUGUGAUGCAAAGUGUCUUUUACCCUGAUGACAGAAUCAUGGCAAGGUAUGAUAUAAAGGGCUGCGAGGUGAGCCGGUGGACGGAUCCAGCUCCUGAAGGCAGCCACAUCAUAGUGGUUUUGAAGGAUCUGAAUUUCGAAGGACAGUUCAUUCAUUUAGAUCAACAGCGUCCUUGGCUCCUGCGUCAAGUGGAGAUCGACACAGCUUUUCUUCAGACACUCAAUGUGUUGGACUACAGUCUCCUGCUGGCCCAUCAGCCCCUGCACCAGGAUGAGCUCAGCCAGAGUCUGUCCUUCGCAACACUCAUCAUGCGCACCAAAAAAUCCUUCCCUUUCUUCUCCAAACGGCCACUGGCAGGCAGGUCAGUGAAUCCAGUGUCCAGUCCCACACAUGCCGCUUCACCCACUGUACCAGGAGUGGUGGCAGAUGAAGACUCAUCACCCCUCCCCUCUGAAUUAAACUGUACACACAACAGUCACAUAACAGAAUGCAGUGGCAAUGAUGGAAUGGACAAUACAAGUCUUGAAGGAGAAAACAUUGAGGGACCCAGUAGAGCAGGAGCAGAAUCGGCUGACCUACAAGCGUUUCAGUCCCAGAACCGGAGGCUCCUUCCCAACUUCAAGAACCCGCUUCAUGUCAUUGAUGGACCAGAGCAGCGUUACUUCAUCGGCAUUAUUGACAUCUUCACUGUUUAUGGUUUUAGGAAGAGGCUUGAGCAUUUAUGGAAAAGACUGAGACACCCAAGUCAAACAUUCUCCACUGUCAGUCCUCCAGCUUACUGUCACCGGUUGUGCCACUGGGUUCAGGACCAUACCAAAUAAAAGAGGCGACAGAUCAUGUGCCAGAAGAUAUGCACCUGACCCAUACAUACCUCAUUAGGCAGUGGAAAGGACCUGAAUGUACUUUUGACGGUAAAUGUUUUUCUCUUUAAAGAGAUUGCUCACCCCAAAAUGAAGGUUCUGUCAUUGUUUAGUCCAGCUAAACACUAUAGAAUACACAAGACGUGCAACUUGUUUACUUUUGAAUGGUGAAAAAGGCAACAGUCACUUCAGAGAAGAAAGGCCUGCCUUCCAGUAGAUUAGCCAAUCAUCAAUCGGUAUAGACUGACGAUUCUUUAGAGCAGGGGCUUGGUCCAGAUGCCUGUUUUUUAAGACAGUUUCUGCAACUUAGCGAAUACUAAUAAUAUGUGAAAUAAAUGUUUCAAGCGCAAAUCACAUUCUAUCGGUUUUGGAGGAGAUUUGCUGUCAGGAAUCAGUUGGAAACUACCUUAGAAGACCAAUGUGAACCAAUCAGAGGAUGAAACUGUGUAACAUUAGUUAUUGAUUAUUGCAGAAGUUACAUAAUCUGAUUGACAGGAUGACAUCUGAAUUGUGUCCUCCAAAAAUAGCCAUAAAGAGAUUGUUGUUGUGAAUUUGUUUUCUUCAGGUGCGCAUACGCAUGGGGAACCUAAAAAACGGCAUCUUUUUUUUCAUGACUUGAGCAGUUAAAAACUAUAUUUCUAAGAGAGUUUUUGUUAAAGUUUAUUGGUUAUUCCAAAUAUAAAAGUUAAUCGCUUGCCAAUGGCAAAAUCUUUUGGAGAAUUUGAUGUUUCCCCAUUUAAAGAGGAAGAAGCUGGAUGCAUGGAAGCUUGCAUGCCUGAGAGGAAUUUAAAGAUGGUGGCUGAGUGAAAUGAUUUACCUUAAAAGGACUUUGUUUACACUCAUGUUGGACCAAGUGCAUUAGAAAUGUGUUCCUCUUGAGAACACACAUGUACAGUUGAAGUCAGAAUUAUUAGCCCUCUUGUGAAAUUUUAAUUUCUUAUUUUUGUUAAGACAGACAAAUUGGCUAAUUUUUCAUCAUUCCCACAAAUUCUGUUGAACGGAAAGAAGAUUUUUACAACACAUUUCUAAACAUAAUAGUCUUAAUUAGUAUUCAGCUUAAAUUGACUUUUAAAGACUUAACUAGGUUAAUAAGGAGCUAAUAAUAUUGACCCUAAAAUGGUUUCAAAAAAAUUUAAAACUUUUUAUUCUAGCCAAAGAAAAACACAACUUUCAGUAAAAAAGAUACUAUUGUAAAUAAUAUGGAAAUGUCCUUGAUCCAUUAAAUAUAACUUGAGAGCUUAUUUUUUAAAUUAUAUAUUAUUUUGCUAAUCUCAGAAAUCUAAUUUUGCUAAUAAUUUUGAUAAUUACUGAGAUUCAUUUAUUUAAAUAUGAGAGGCUUUCAUAAUUUCUUUGAAAGUUUGUUCAACAAAAGCACUUUAAAACAUUGAUGAUGAGAUCCAAAAGAACAAAUUCUUCUGAAGAGACAUCAUUGCUUUAUAUCACAGGAACUGGAUUUAACACCUGUGCUUUAUAUUAUAAACUGGUUUCAUUUAGGCUUUUUACAUGAACAAUGUUUAGUGAGCUUCUGAUAUGUUCAUUAGGUCUGUUAGUCAUAAGGCUGUUCUCUUCAGGAGACUUGGAUUAAAACACUUCUUUCAUCCGGCUUUAUGGAGAAACAGAAAUAUCACAAAUUUUGUUAAUAUCUUGUCAUUUUUGUUCUGAAAAUCUUGUGAAUUUUGGAAUGACGUGAAAAUAAACUAUGACAGAAUUUUAAUUUUGGGUUGAACUAAAGCUUUAAGUUGACCUUCUUGAAGUCUGCUUUUGAGCUUUUUGUUUACAGAUAAUGCUGAGUAUUUGCUGUAACAUGGCACUUCAAGAAAAAACAGUUAAAUGUUGUAUUUAAAAUUAUUAUGAAAAAGUGCAGAGACCAUUGCAUUAUGCCAAAGAUGCAUAAGAAUGAAGCAGAAAAAUGAGUAUUGGAUUUAAGUCUUAUUUUGAAAUAAUGAUUGAAUUAUGUGAUACCGAUUACACAUAUCCCAUUCACCCAAGAGUUACCAUUUGAUAAGCAGUCAAAGUAAAUUAUACCAAGAUAUCAGACUUGCAACUUUGCAAAAGCAGCAGCUUCUGUAUCUCUUAAUUUUGUUGAGCAUUGGUUAUGUGAAGCUUCAUAAGUGGUCAUUCAUGUGAGCAUGUUUUGUUUUCAGGUAUUUAUGCAGUAUAAUAAUAAAAUAAUGUUUAAGCUUUUAA